UCGGACUUCUGAGUAUUUAAGGGGGAUGCACAGUGAGAAAACAUCGAUCUAGGUCAAAAAUAUCGAUAUUUUAAAAUUAAUUGAUUUUAAUAGUUUAAAAUGUCUAGAAAACGAAUUCCCUAUCAGAAUACUAAAAAAAACUGCGCUUUAUACAUCAAUUUUGUAUUUUAAAAGUAGAUGUAUAAGCAAAAUUUUGAUGUUUUGGUUAAAAAUCAACAUUUUGUAAGCUAAAGUUGAUAAGUUAAUGUACGCUCUUAUCCCUAACAGAUGGUAUCGAUACAAAGGUCUACUUUUCUAGUUCCGAUUAUGAGCAUGGUUUCUCAUUCUAUAAAUAUAAACUUUCAAAAUACGUCACUACCUCUUUUUUUUUCCUAUAUCCUCAUAUACACACUCACUAAGCCAUAUUUACGCAUGCGCACUAUCAAAGCUACAUUGGUAACUAUGACAACAAAAUUUGCACGCAUGCGCACAUGACGUGAACCGGUCCUUCUUCUGUAAACAAAGCUUCCUUCACAUCAACACUCGAUUCAUUAUUCAAACUCAGAAAUGCCAACAAAAGGUUAGAUCUAUAUGUUUGGAAAGAAAAAACGUUACUGUAAGCCCAGAGGAAGACAUGCUUCAAAGACAAAUGCAUAAUUACAAAGCUCUGUUUUGGAUACAGCUGGAUCUGAAGCAGCAACAACGCAGCCUGCAAGUGCAGCUGAACGAAAAAUAAUUCUAACUGCAAUUACUAACGCUGAUAACACCAAUAAGAGGCUGCCUGAAGAUUUCAUAUACGUCAUGAUGAAUUCAAUGGAAUUGACCACAAUGGUCUCCUUGUUGUGCUGUCCACAUUGCUUCGACAAAAAAUUAACCAUGUGCAUCACACAAUCAAAAGGCAUGGCUCAUUUGAUUAAAAUCAAAUGCCUAAAUUGUGAAACAUAUUUGUGGCCUGACUGGACCUCAAAAAAAAGUAAUAAUGUUCAUCUGGAUAUUAAUGUCCGCGCUGUCGCUGCAUUAAAAGAAUCUGGAAUCUCGCAUUCUAAAUUUGAUAGGUUUUGUGGACUUAUGAGUAUGCCCUGCAUGCACAGAAAUACUUAUAACAAUCUAGCUAACAUAGUCAACACUGCUAUAAUUGAAGCUGGUGAAGAAUGUAUGAUUAGGGCAUCUGCUGUUGUGCAGCUGUUGUGCAUGGAAGAAACAUUUCACAACCUCUGACUACAGAUGAUAGAAUAAAUUCAACAGGCUGUCCUGUUAUUACAGUUUCUUUUGAUGGGACUUGGCAUAAAAGGGGCCACUCAUCUCAUUCAGGAAUUGGCAGUUAUUGAUUUUGAUACUGGACUCGUCAUCGACACCGAAGUCCUAUCAAAUUAUUGCUGUGUUUGUGAUUCAAACUCUGCAGAACUAAAUUUUGAUGCCUCUAAGCAUAUGUGUCAAAAAAACUUCAGUGGCUCAGCAAAUGCAAUGGAGGCCGCAGCAGCAUCCAAAAUUUGUUCUCACUCUGUGGCAUCAGAAAACUUGUUUAUGGCAUGAUGCUGUGUGAUGGCGAUAGUAAAUCACAUUCAUCUGCCAUUACCAGCUCAGGAUAUGAUGUAGAAAUCUUAAAAGAGGACUGCAUUAACCACAUCUCAAAAAGAAUGUUUAAUGCUUUGAACAAUUUAAAAAUGUCUAACAAAAAAGAACUAAAUUAUAGGCUUACAAAGCCAAAAAUUGAAAAAAUUACAAAUAACUAUUCCAAAGUUCUGCGCCAAAAUGCUCCUGACAUUCAAAAAAAUGAAGCUGGCUGUUAUGGGCUCAUUUUUUCAUAUGAUGAGCUCAGACCUAGAUCAUAACCACAGGUUGUGUCCUGAUGGCACUACAUCUUGGUGUCACACUUUAAGACAUCAGAGGCACUAAAACAGCCAUAAAAAAAAACAUAAUCAGACCAUCACAUCAGAAAUAGGAAAACUCUUAUUUCCUAUAAUGAAAAGACUAACAGACACAGAUCUGUUAAAAACAUGUUCAAGAAUGGGAACAAAAACGCCAAUGAAUCUUUUCAUUCCCUUAUUUGGCAAAGAUGCCCCAAAACCAGAAUUCGCAACAUUAAAAACUGUAAGGACUGCGACAUACCUUGCUGUUUUAGUCUUCAAUAAUGGACCUGUUGGCAUCAAAUCAGUUUUUGACAUAUUAGGCGUUCCCUGGACACUAAAGAACAUUUCUUCUAGUUAGAAAAAGCAAAAUGUCAAACUACAGCUUGUUGUUAGAAAAAGAAGAUCAAUCGCAUUAGUGUCCAGGAGAAAAAAAAACGAAGAAUUGAGCAUGAGCACCGGGCAGAGGUUCUAGAUGGUCCAACCUAUUGUCACAGUCUUAGUUGACAUUGCAUGAUCUAAAGUUCACGUCAUGUUAAGAGUUUGAAAGACACGUGGAAUUCCUGAUGUAGAAAACAGGAAGUAGAGUGAAUAGAGUUGACUUUGAGCUUCAGUCAGUCUAUAAUAUUUGUCUUGUCACAUGUCUAGAGUACUUCAGGAAGCAAGAACCCAGUAUUACACGACAUUCGUAUUCUGCAACCUUACGCCAUUCAACGUUCAUUGACAUUUUUGGUAGCCAGUAUGUUGUGUUCUAGACACGCACGGACUGAAAACUCAACACCACUCAAGCGAAACCAGUCACAAGUAUUCAAGUAGAUCAUCAUUGAACUAACCUGAGCCUGCACUUUUUCACCGGUUGACCUGACCAGUAUUUACUAGAGUCCACUUUAUCAUUGACCAAUUCGAACUUAACAUCAAUAGCUUGUAUAUUUUAAACCUGGUCAAUGCCUAUUUCUCCACUAUUGUCGACAUCUUGAGAUUUAGCACGACGUGACAUCACCAUCGGCAGAAACCGAAGACAGUUGAUACAUUUGUGUGGGUGAAAAACUGAAGGCGUCGCUCGAAGACAGCUGAUACAUUUGUGUGGAUGAAAAAUUCAAGGCGUCGCCUGAAGACAGAUAAUACAUCGUUUCCACGUGAGCGCUCGUCACCAACUUUUGACACGCUCUUGCAUUGUCGAGGUUUCACCUUACAUUGCUAUACAGAAGGUCCUCCAUUUAGACCUCUGUUCACUUAUGGUCAUUCUAAUUUUUCAGAGACUUUACAUAUUUGGAUUAUCUAAGCUGAAGUUUUCCACUUAAGUACCGUUGGAUUAUUUAUACGAAUGUUCAAGUACUUUUGGAUUAUUGAUCUUUGACGUUGAAUUUGGACUAACUUGUACCUAUUGGCGCUCUCCUAGUCAUCGUUGUACGCCGAAGAAAUAACACGUGCCUGCAUUACUACACUUACCUCUUGGAUUUUGGAUUACCUGUUGGACUUGUGUUAAUUGUAAAGGUCAAGAGGAAAUAUUUUUUGACAUUACUUGAGCAUUUGAGCCAUCUUAUGGCAUAUGACUGGAUUAUUUUACAACUACUUUGAUGCUCACAUUGAUGUGUAUUCUCAAUCAGAUUACUUAGUUACCUUACCCAUGGAUUAUUAUUGAACUACUCAAGCUGUAUUUGUAUUUGACAAGCUACAAGAGAGGAUUAAUCUACAUCAGUCUACAAAAGAAAGUCUGUAAGUUAUAAUUAAGGAUUGAAUAUAUUCAUAUGAUUAAUAAAGUACAUUGAUUUUGCUGUGGUAUAGCAGUAAUUGAAGUUGAUUAUAUAUAGAGUUAGUGAUUGAUAACUCUUGGAACCAUAUUAAAUUGAUUUUCAUUUUUUAUAUUUUCUUACCUUAAAGGGCAGUCGGCGUGGGUCUGUCUUAUGUUUUGAGACUGAAGCGGCACAAUUUAUUUGUUCCAUUCCAUUUCACUUCAUUAGAUAGGGAUCUUUAGGGAUUUUCCUUUUGUUCUCCUAGUCCUAAUAAGGUCCGAGUAGACCAGCCUUGUUCGGUAGGGACUUCUAGAUCAUUUAGAAAUUUUUUGUUUAGUCGUAUUUAGUUUUGUUUGUACAAUCGUAGUGUAAUUUCUCUUCGUAUUCAUAUUGUUUGUUUGUGUAAGUUUUGUAUUUACAUAUCUGUGAUUCUCCUGUCAAAGUCUUCUAUUUAUUAAUUUCUUUUAAAGCAGACUGUAUUGUUAUCUAUAUUGUUUUUGUGUUCGUCACCUAUCCUUUAAUUUAUCUCUUUAUUCUCUCAUUAAUUUAUUUUUUCAUUUCACUUUUUUCACUGCAUAGAACAUGUUACAAAGAUAUAUUUGAAGUAAUAAUAUUGUGUAUAUAUAUGCUACUACAGAAAGUUUAUUUGAAUUAGAGCUUCGUUUUUUCAGCUCUUGUACUUUCGUAUUGAUACAUUUCUAAUAUGAUGAUCAUAUUUUGUGUUGAUACAUUUUGACACAACACUUAUCACUAUUGAUUACUCAUCCAUGAAAUUUAUUGAUGCCAUAUUCUACAUAUAACUUUGAUUGUAUUCAUACACAUGACACUUCAAAAGGUCAUAUGUGUCCAAUUUUUUUCAUAUGUGUAAAAUUUUCAAAUGCACUCAGUCAUAUUGGAACCUGAGUAUGUGACACUAUUUAUUGAAAUGUAUUUUUCAUUUUUUCAAAUGUACAUAACCUUUGUAAAUUGUAUAAAUAUGAUUGUGACAUUGAUCUUCAAUGAUGAAUUUAUUUUUUCCCACCUAUCAUUUUUGAAGACUAUUUGAGCUUAAUUCGAGGCUUGAAACGAUAUACUUGAUGAGAAUGCAAACAAUGAUUUUUUAAGAAUAUUGUAUUGAUAUGAGAAGUAUUGGAGCAUUAUUGAUGGCUCAUGAAGUAAUAUAUAUAAAGUGUGAUGUAAUCACUGAUUUUUUUGAGGAGAAGAUUGUAUUUAAUAUGAGAAAUUAUUGGAGCAUUAUUGGUGGCUCUUGAAGCAAUACAUUUGAUGUGUGAUGUAGACACUGAUUUUUUUAGAAGAUUGUAUUUAAUUUGAGAAAAUUAUUGGAGCAUUAUUGAUGGCUCGUGAAGUAAUAUAUUUGAUGUGUGAAGACAGAUUUUUUGAAGAGAUUGUAUUUCAUAUGAGAAAACCAUUGGAGCACUAUUAAUGGCUCUAAGUAAUAUAUUUGAUGUUACAUAAUGUGAAAAGCUGAUUCAUUUUUUGAGAGAAAAUUGUAACUUAUACAUAUGUUAAAGCAACUUGAGCUCACAGUAAGACAUAUGAGCCUAAUGAAUUAGUUAUCAUGAUAACGACCUUCAUGCUUUAAUAUGCUUAUCACUUUGAUGAUUUAAACAUGUUCUUCAUAAAUCAUUAUUGAAGAAUAUAUUUUCUUGACUUUCAUGAUUUAGUUGCAUUGUCAAAACAUUGUCAUUAUUUUCGUACACAAACCAUUGAGACAACAUACAUAUUUAUUAUAGAGAUAUUUCUCUUGCAUUGAUUUAUUUUAAAGAACAUUGUCAAUAUUUUUCAUCUGACCAUGUAACCUGAUGGGAUAAACUAAGUAUAUUUGUAUACAAGCAUUUUUCAUGGCUGCACAUUCUUUUGUAAAAUUAAUAUUGAAAGCAUUCUUUUGAUAAAUUGAGAAUUUACUUUGAAAUUUUGUGUAAAGAAAAAACACUUGCUUUUUAAGUAAUGUUGACAACUAUGAGUACUGUCCACUCAGAUAAAUAUUUUUUUCAAAUAUUGUAAGAGCAAAUGAGUCCAUAUAUUAGUCUCAUCAGAAUUUUUGAUAGCAUGAUAGAUUAUAGCACACAUUGUACAUUUGUAUAGAUUAUUUUUUCUCUCAAGAGAUGUGACUAUACAUAUAAUAUGAUUAUUACUUAAAUUUUAAAAGAUUUUUUCAAAAUCUUUUUUUGAGGGAAAGGGCGUAAUGUCACAGUCUUAGUUGACAUUGCAUGAUCUAAAGUUCACGUCAUGUUAAGAGUUUGAAAGACACGUGGAAUUCCUGAUGUAGAAAACAGGAAGUAGAGUGAAUAGAGUUGACUUUGAGUUCAGUCAAGUCAAGUUAGUAAGGUCUUGCUCCCGGUCCAGGAAGGUUGGACGUUGCUUCCUGGACUGGUGUAUAUAUAUAUAUGUAUAUAGCAUGAAAGUCGAUGGACUAAUGACUGUUGAUUAAUAAUAUUUGAGAGUUGAUUUCAUUAUGUGCUUAUUGAAUAUUAAGGUAUUAUUCGUAUUUCAAUGGAUAUCUAUAGUUGAAGCUCCAGUGUCACUAGUAGUAAUUGUUCUUAUUGUUACCCUCUAAGAUGCGGACGUGAUUGAUACAUUUGAUACCGCUGCUAUGCGGAUAGGAUUGUUUAUUAUUUCUUGACUUGUAGCACUAACAAGGAGUGCAGUGUAUUAUUAUUGUAGUAAAAUAAACUUCAUGUUUGUCUGCUGAAA